ACACAGGGUUGCCUACUAUAUGCUAGAGUCCUGGGCAUGUUAUAUCAGUGAUUCUUCUUAUCCUUCCACCUCACAACAUCCUACAAGAUGAACCUCUUGUUGUUAAAUAGUUAUUAAUAGGUAUUAUUCCCCCUUUUUACAAAUGUGGGAGCAGAGGGCCAGAUUUUGGAAGAUUUAUUUGUGGUCAGGUCCAAGUAAAUGGCAGAAUAUGGCCCUCUGCCAGAUCUUAUCCUCUCGGUCUAAAGCUUCUGUUUUCUUCUCAGACAUGACAUUCAAUUCACAUGUCUCCAUGCGCACAAAAUAUAAACACUAAGAGUUGCCUCAAAUGUCCAUAUAAGGGCUGGGGAUGUGGCUCAAGCGGUAGUGCGCUCACCUGGCAUGCGCGGGGCGCUGGGUUUGAUCCUCAGCACCAUAUAAAAAUAAAGAUGUUGUGCCCACCGAAAACUAAAAUAUAAAUAUUAAAAAAUUCUCUCUCUCUCUUUAAAAAAAAAAUGUCCAUAUAAUAGACUCAGCACACUGACUGGAUACACACCCACAAGUUGCACACCCAUAGAUGCAUAAAGUAAGUACACAUAGGUCCAUGUGAUAAACCCACUCAGAACUUUAGAGAUACUCAAUAAAUGUCAUCUGGCUAAAUGAAUGGCUACACAAAAAUAUACACAUUCAGCGCACACUGUAGAACUCCUCAAGAUCCAAAACUAUAAAUAUGCACACAACCCAAAACACAGACACACAGACACACACACACCCCAACUUGUAUCUGCUUGCACCUAAGCUAUAUUCCCAGCCCUGCGCUGGGCAUGGCAUAGGGCUAACAGAUAAAUCAGACUCAGACCCUAGGGGAUAAGAAUUACUUGCAGAAGCCACUGGAGAACAAGACAGGGAUGAACUGAACAAAAGAUUAAUUAGCAACAGAGAGCAAAAGGACAUAGAGUCAGAGAAGUUUCUUGGAGCAGGUAGCCUUUAAGCCAGUCCUUGAAGUAUAGGGAGGUUUGGGACAGAAAAGAGGAAUUCUUGGUAGAGCGAGCCAAGUGAAGAGAGGCCCAAGAGAGGACUGAGUGAGUAGGUCUGAGGUGAAAUGGAGAGGACAAAUAGAGCAUGUGGAUACCCAGACACAUACACAUGCCAUCUUGCUGAGUGUCUCUUGAAGUACUGAUUGACAGUUUGUAGGCCUUUUUCCUGAGCUC
rnacentral:lncRNA from 1 species